rnacentral:tRNA from 1 species
UUAAUUGAAACCAAAAAGAGGUUUAUUAUUGUUAAUAAUAAAAUUGAAAUAAAAUUUUCCAAUUAAG